UGGGGAAUAUUGCACAAUGGGCGAAAGCCUGAUGCAGCGACGCCGCGUGAGGGAUGACGGCCUUCGGGCUGUAAACCUCUUUCAGCCGGGAAGAAGCCACAAGUGCCGGUACCUGCAGAAGAAGCGCCGGCUAACUACGUGCCAGCAGCCGCGGUAAUACGUAGGGCGCAAGCGUUGUCCGGAAUUAUUGGGCGUAAAGAGCUCGUAGGCGGUUUGUCGCGUCUGCUGUGAAAGCCCGGGGCUUAACCCCGGGUGUGCAGUGGGUACGGGCAGACUAGAGUGCAGUAGGGGAGACUGGAAUUCCUGGUGUAGCGGUGGAAUGCGCAGAUAUCAGGAGGAACACCGAUGGCGAAGGCAGGUCUCUGGGCUGUUACUGACGCUGAGGAGCGAAAGCAUGGGGAGCGAACA
rnacentral:rRNA from 1 species